rnacentral:rRNA from 1 species
GGACCCGCACAAGCGGUGGAGCAUGUGGUUUAAUUCGAUGCAACGCGAAAAACCUUACCUACUCUUGACAUACUUGGAAGCUCUUGUAAUGAGAGUGUGCCUUUUGGAACCAAGAUACAGGUGCUGCAUGGCUGUCGUCAGCUCGUGUCGUGAGAUGUUCCGUUAAGUCGGAUAACGAGCGCAACCCUUACCCUUAUUUGCCAGCGAUUCGGUCGGGAACUAUAAGGGGACUGCCGGUGAUAAACCGGAGGAAGGUGAGGACGACGUCAAGUCAUCAUGGCCCUUACGAGUAGGGCUACACACGUGCUACAAUGGGGAAUACAGACGGACGCUAAGCCGCGAGGGGGAGCCAAUCCGACAAACCUAGUCGUAGUCCGGAUCGGAGUCUGCAACUCGACUCCGUG